CAUAGGUUAAUGAGGCGAACCGGGGGAACUGAAACAUCUAAGUACCCCGAGGAAAAGAAAUCAACCGAGAUUCCCCCAGUAGCGGCGAGCGAACGGGGAGCAGCCCAGAGCCUGAAUCAGUGUGUGUGUUAGUGGAAGCGUCUGGAAAGGCGCGCGAUACAGGGUGACAGCCCCGUACACAAAAAUGCACAUACUGUGAGCUCGAUGAGUAGGGCGGGACACGUGGUAUCCUGUCUGAAUAUGGGGGGACCAUCCUCCAAGGCUAAAUACUCCUGACUGACCGAUAGUGAACCAGUACCGUGAGGGAAAGGCGAAAAGAACCCCGGCGAGGGGAGUGAAAAAGAACCUGAAACCGUGUACGUACAAGCAGUGGGAGCACGCUUAGGCGUGUGACUGCGUACCUUUUGUAUAAUGGGUCAGCGACUUAUAUUCUGUAGCAAGGUUAACCGAAUAGGGGAGCCGAAGGGAAACCGAGUCUUAACUGGGCGUUAAGUUGCAGGGUAUAGACCCGAAACCCGGUGAUCUAGCCAUGGGCAGGUUGAAGGUUGGGUAACACUAACUGGAGGACCGAACCGACUAAUGUUGAAAAAUUAGCGGAUGACUUGUGGCUGGGGGUGAAAGGCCAAUCAAACCGGGAGAUAGCUGGUUCUCCCCGAAAGCUAUUUAGGUAGCGCCUCGUGAAUUCAUCUCCGGGGGUAGAGCACUGUUUCGGCAAGGGGGUCAUCCCGACUUACCAACCCGAUGCAAACUGCGAAUACCGGAGAAUGUUAUCACGGGAGACACACGGCGGGUGCUAACGUCCGUCGUGAAGAGGGAAACAACCCAGACCGCC
rnacentral:rRNA from 1 species